rnacentral:rRNA from 1 species
UAGGGAAUCUUCCGCAAUGGGCGAAAGCCUGACGGAGCAACGCCGCGUGAGUGAUGAAGGUCUUCGGAUCGUAAAACUCUGUUAUUAGGGAAGAACAAAUGUGUAAGUAACUAUGCACAUCUUGACGGUACCUAAUCAGAAAGCCACGGCUAACUACGUGCCAGCAGCCGCGGUAAUACGUAGGGCGCAAGCGUUAUCCGGAAUUAUUGGGCGUAAAGAGCUUGUAGGCGGUUCGUCGCGUCUGGUGUGAAAGCCCAUCGCUUAACGGUGGGUUUGCGCCGGGUACGGGCGGGCUAGAGUGCAGUAGGGGAGACUGGAAUUCACGGUGUAACGGUGGAAUGUGUAGAUAUCGGGAAGAACACCAAUGGCGAAGGCAGGUCUCUGGGCUGUUACUGACGCUGAGAAGCGAAAGCGUGGGGAGCGAACAGG